rnacentral:tRNA from 1 species
AGGCGAGUAGCUCCAACAGUCAGAGCGGGACUCUUAUAAGGUCACGGUUGAUGGUGCAAAUCCAUCCUCGCCUA